CGUAGGAAUCUAUCCUUGAAUGGGGGACAACCGUGGGAAACUACGGCUAAUACCGCAUGAUGCCUGAGGGCCAAAGACGAAAGUCGUUUGAGGAGGAGCCUGCCGUCUGAUUUAGGUAGUUGGUGGGGUAAAGCCUACCCAAGCCUACGAUCAGUAGCUGGUCUGAGAGGAUGAUCGAGCCACAUUGGGACCUGAGACACGGCCCAAACUCCUACGGGAGGGCAGCAGUGGGGAAUAUUGGACAAUGGGCGCAAGCCUGAUCCAGCAAUGCCGCGUGGGUGAAGAAGGUCUUCGGAUUGUAAAGCCCUUUUGGCGGGGACGAUGAUGACGGUACCCGCAGAAUAAGCUCCGGCUAACUUCGUG
rnacentral:rRNA from 1 species